CCUCUCGCUAGGCCCCGCCCCCUCCGCCGCCUCGCUCCGCCCAGGCCCCGCCCCUCGUUCCCUCCCCCAACCCCGCUCCUUAACUGAGCUCGCCAGGUACGACUAGCACGCACCACCUUCAUUCCCUCACUGCAGGGAAUGAGAAGGGUUAUUAGCACAGGAGAAAGUAGUUUUCUGAAAUCAUGGGCUAGUUAAGGGAAGCAUAUUCUGAACCAUCAUUUUCCUACCUCCCUGCACUCCUUGGCCUGUGCCGUGGAAUCUUUGCCUUAAGUAAGCUGCGCAAGUGAAUUCAAGUGUUCUGCCUCCUUAGAUUUGGCUGGAAGGUGUGGCAGGUCAUUGCAGUGUGGGGUACUGCUUUACUCCUCUGGUUCGGAGCUGUCGGUUAAACGUGCUUGAUAAACCUACGGGUUGUUUUAUUACAUGGUGCAUGGCCAGGAGGUGAGAACAGCAAGAAGCCCACCAUCUCCUGCAAGUAGAAUGACCCUUCUGGAGACAUGGGUCCUUAGAAGAGUUCAACCUCUCAACGAAAGGUGUUUGGCCAAACCAUCAGCUGAGGUGGAAUUCAGAACAACUCUUCUAGAAACUCCAGAUAGCAAUUUUGUGUAGGUUCUCAUCAAAGCACCUUUUCUGAGAAUUUUCUGCUGCCUAACUUUUAUCAGAGCUCAACCUGGAAAGUCUAUAUUUAGGAAAACUAUUUUUUAAAUGUGCUGCUGUUGAGUAUAUUCCUAUUGCCACACAAAUUCUGCUCUUAUACAUUAUGUUUUUUAGUCCUGAACGCAAGUUCCUUCAAUGUUACACCUGCUCAGGUGUUAUCGAAAGUAGAAGGUAAAAGCCAGUUGAAUUAAUUUGCUACCUCUUCUGUAGGAAUGACAUUGAGAGCACCUUUCACUGUGCCUUUUGUAAAGUGACACAUGGGGAAUUUCUCUUGCC
rnacentral:lncRNA from 1 species